GACGAACGCUGGCGGCGUGCCUAAUACAUGCAAGUAGAACGCUGAAGAGAGGAGCUUGCUCUUCUUGGAUGAGUUGCGAACGGGUGAGUAACGCGUAGGUAACCUGCCUUGUAGCGGGGGAUAACUAUUGGAAACGAUAGCUAAUACCGCAUAACAAUGGAUGACACAUGUCAUUUAUUUGAAAGGGGCAAUUGCUCCACUACAAGAUGGACCUGCGUUGUAUUAGCUAGUAGGUGAGGUAAUGGCUCACCUAGGCGACGAUACAUAGCCGACCUGAGAGGGUGAUCGGCCACACUGGGACUGAGACACGGCCCAGACUCCUACGGGAGGCAGCAGUAGGGAAUCUUCGGCAAUGGGGGCAACCCUGACCGAGCAACGCCGCGUGAGUGAAGAAGGUUUUCGGAUCGUAAAGCUCUGUUGUAAGUCAAGAACGGGUGUGAGAGUGGAAAGUUCACACUAUGACGGUAGCUUACCAGAAAGGGACGGCUAACUACGUGCCAGCAGCCGCGGUAAUACGUAGGUCCCGAGCGUUGUCCGGAUUUAUUGGGCGUAAAGCGAGCGCAGGCGGUUUGAUAAGUCUGAAGUUAAAGGCUGUGGCUCAACCAUAGUUCGCUUUGGAAACUGUCAAACUUGAGUGCAGAAGGGGAGAGUGGAAUUCCAUGUGUAGCGGUGAAAUGCGUAGAUAUAUGGAGGAACACCGGUGGCGAAAGCGGCUCUCUGGUCUGUAACUGACGCUGAGGCUCGAAAGCGUGGGGAGCGAACAGGAUUAGAUACCCUGGUAGUCCACGCCGUAAACGAUGAGUGCUAGGUGUUGGAUCCUUUCCGGGAUUCAGUGCCGCAGCUAACGCAUUAAGCACUCCGCCUGGGGAGUACGACCGCAAGGUUGAAACUCAAAGGAAUUGACGGGGGCCCGCACAAGCGGUGGAGCAUGUGGUUUAAUUCGAAGCAACGCGAAGAACCUUACCAGGUCUUGACAUCCCGAUGCUAUUUCUAGAGAUAGAAAGUUACUUCGGUACAUCGGUGACAGGUGGUGCAUGGUUGUCGUCAGCUCGUGUCGUGAGAUGUUGGGUUAAGUCCCGCAACGAGCGCAACCCCUAUUGUUAGUUGCCAUCAUUCAGUUGGGCACUCUAGCGAGACUGCCGGUAAUAAACCGGAGGAAGGUGGGGAUGACGUCAAAUCAUCAUGCCCCUUAUGACCUGGGCUACACACGUGCUACAAUGGUUGGUACAACGAGUUGCGAGUCGGUGACGGCGAGCUAAUCUCUUAAAGCCAAUCUCAGUUCGGAUUGUAGGCUGCAACUCGCCUACAUGAAGUCGGAAUCGCUAGUAAUCGCGGAUCAGCACGCCGCGGUGAAUACGUUCCCGGGCCUUGUACACACCGCCCGUCACACCACGAGAGUUUGUAACACCCGAAGUCGGUGAGGUAACCUUUUGGAGCCAGCCGCCUAAGGUGGGACAGAUGAUUGGGGUGA
rnacentral:rRNA from 1 species